UCCCUAUUGAAACUGAAAUUAAAGUCAACAUGGGAAAGAAAAUCCAGCCGAUCUCUAAGUGAUGACCCUGAGCACAGUGUCUUGACAGAGAAUGAAUUCUUCAGAUUGAAAAACACAACUCCUACUGUGCCUGCAUCUACUUAUUUGUUGCAACAAAACUUAAACGUCACCAAAGUCUCACAUCCCAGACAGCUUUCCUACUUUCUCAUUGUUACUGAGGAGCACACCCAUUUGUUCCACUGUGAAAAGGAAGGGGCCACAGGGUCUUCCUAUCAGAGGGGGAGCCUCAGCUUAUGGGCCCCAGCAGAUGACCUCACUUCCUUGGUGACAGGUCCAAACAGAACUCGGAACCCUAGAGUCAACAGGCACCACAGUCAUGACUGCUGUCUAAGAGUCACUUGGCUGGAGACACUCAGCAGCGAAGAUGCUGUGUUGCUUUCCCAGACCUCGAGGCCGCAGCCUCAGGACCCCGCGCAGGGGAAGCACUCGGGAAAGAGUGAGAGGAUGGAUAUCUAAGUCCAGGCGCAAAAGAACACUGGCCAGGAACCGCUCAGUGCAUCAUGUGGGCAACACAGGCCAGAUUGGAAAUCAGGAGGCCGAGAGCCUGGCAGAGGUCUGCACAGUGACGGCUCAGGCGGGCAGGCCACACACCCCGUCCAAGCUGCUGGAGCAGGCCUUCCCGGACAGCUGCCCCAUCAACCGACCCUCCUUCCAGGAACCCACAAGGGCCUGCAUUUCCUCCCCACAGGAGGGGAGGCUGAAAAGCUCCAUGUCCUCUGUCAUCGAGUCCUUCCUACAGCUGCAGUCCCAGGUCCAUCACACUGGCACACUUCUGCUGGCUCAGCUGGAGCGCUACGAGCCCACUGAGACAGAGCCCAAGCAUGAGGAACAAGCGGCGGGUCUAGCUACACCCCAAGCUGAAGUGCCAACUGGAGAGCCCAUGUCAGCUCCACCUGCAGCUCCCUGUCCAGCUCUGGCAGCAGAGCCACAGCCAUCACCUGGAACCCCUUCUCCACCAGCUGCCCAGCUGGGGCUCCUGGUGGCUCCUCAGCAGGGGUCAGCUCCUGAGCUCCCCUUGUGGCCAGCCCCUGCCCCACACCUGCCUUUAUCCUCC
rnacentral:lncRNA from 1 species